UACGUAGGGGGCUAGCGUUGUCCGGAAUCAUUGGGCGUAAAGGGCGCGUAGGUGGCGGGACAAGCGUGCGGUGAAAGCCUGGGGCUCAACCCCGGGUCGGCCGUGCGAACUGUUUUGCUUGAGCACUGUAGAGGCAGGCGGAAUUCCGGGUGUAGCGGUGGAAUGCGUAGAGAUCCGGAAGAACACCGGUGGCGAAGGCGGCCUGCUGGGCAGUAGCUGACACUGAGGCGCGACAGCGUGGGGAGCAAACAGG
rnacentral:rRNA from 1 species